ACCUUACCAGGUCUUGACAUCCUUUGACCACUCUAGAGAUAGAGCUUUCCCUUCGGGACAAAGUGACAGGUGGUGCAUGGUUGUCGUCAGCUCGUGUCGUGAGAUGUUGGGUUAAGUCCCGCAACGAGCGCAACCCUUAUUACUAGUUGCCAGCAUUUAGUUGGGCACUCUAGUGAGACUGCCGGUGACAAACCGGAGGAAGGUGGGGACGACGUCAAAUCAUCAUGCCCCUUAUGACCUGGGCUACACACGUGCUACAAUGGAUGGUACAACGAGUUGCGAGACCGCGAGNUUUAGCUAAUCUCUUAAAACCAUUCUCAGUUCGGAUUGUAGGCUGCAACUCGCCUACAUGAAGCCGGAAUCGCUAGUAAUCGCGGAUCAGCAUGCCGCGNUGAAUACGUUCCCGGGCCUUGCACACACCGCCCGU
rnacentral:rRNA from 1 species